rnacentral:rRNA from 1 species
AGGAUAAACGCUGGCGGCGUGCCUAACACAUGCAAGUCGAACGCCCUACGCAAGUAGGGAGUGGCGGACGGGUGAGGAACACGUGGGUUAUCUGCCUUUCGGUGAGGAAUACCGGCGAGAAAUCGCCGACAAGACCGCAUAGGCUCGAUGCAAGUCGAGCAAAGCUCUUUCGAGAGAGGGAGCGCCACACGAGGAGCCUGCGCCCGAUUAGCUAGCUGGUGGAGUAAUGGUUCACCAGGGCGACGAUCGGUAGCUGGUCUGAGAGGACGAUCAGCCACACUGGGAUUGAGAACGCCCAGACUCCUACGGGGGGCAGCAGUGAGGAAUUUUCGUCAAUGGGGGCAACCCUGAACGAGCAACGCCGCGUGCAGGAAGAAGGUUUUCGGACCGUAAACUGCUUUUCUCGGGGAAGAGAACGGACGGUACCCGAGGAAUCGAGCCCCGGCUAACUACGUGCCAGCAGCCGC